AGGUCCCCGGCCUCCUUCUACCUGCAGCCCGACGAAGCGCUUGGAAAUUUCCUACCCACGCUGAAGGAAAUGCUGGAGGAGCGAUUUGGUGGGAAGCCUCGGCCGCUCUACCCCGAGCGGUCGCUCGCGCAGGGCGGCCGCGGCGCUGGCGUCUGGCACCGAUCUUGUCGAGGGCUCUGUACAGCACAAACCACUGCACCUGGGCCACGGCCCGAAUCCAAAGCCUCCGUUCUGACGGUCAGAUUCAGGCGGCGACUCUGGAGGAAAUGUCUCUCAUGAAAUUGUCUUUUCCGAGACCAAGGUUCUCUGCAAACCUCCCGGCUACCAUCAAAG